AGCGAACGCUGGCGGCAGGCCUAACACAUGCAAGUCGAACGAACCUUUCGGGGUUAGUGGCGGACGGGUGAGUAACACGUGGGAACGUGCCUUUAGGUUCGGAAUAACUCAGGGAAACUUGUGCUAAUACCGAAUGUGCCCUUCGGGGGAAAGAUUUAUCGCCUUUAGAGCGGCCCGCGUCUGAUUAGCUAGUUGGUUGAGGUUAUGGCUCACCAAGGCGACGAUCAGUAGCUGGUCUGAGAGGAUGAUCAGCCACAUUGGGACUGAGACACGGCCCAAACUCCUACGGGAGGCAGCAGUGGGGAAUCUUGCGCAAGGGGCGAAAGCCUGACGCAGCCAUGCCGCGUGAAUGAUGAAGGUCUUAGGAUUGUAAAAUUCUUUCACCGGGGACGAUAAUGACGGUACCCGGAGAAGAAGCCCCGGCUAACUUCGUG
rnacentral:rRNA from 1 species